rnacentral:rRNA from 1 species
GACGAACGCUGGCGGCGUGCCUAACACAUGCAAGUCAGGGGGAAAGCUGGCUUCGGCCAGUGCCUAACACAUGCAAGUCGAACGGGGAUGCGGCAUGAAGUUUUCGGAUGGAUUGCCGUAAUCCUAGUGGCGGACGGGUGAGUAACGCGUGGGCAACCUACCCUGUACAGGGGGAUAACUCCGGGAAACCGGGGCUAAUACCGCAUGGUGCCGUAUGAGCGCAUGCUUUUGCGGUGAAAGCGAAUAAGCGGUACGGGAUGGGCCCGCGUCCCAUUAGCUGGUUGGUGAGGUAGCGGCUCACCAAGGCGACGAUGGGUAGCCGACCUGAGAGGGUGAUCGGCCACACUGGGACUGAGACACGGCCCAGACUCCUACGGGAGGCAGCAGUGGGGAAUAUUGCGCAAUGGACGGAAGUCUGACGCAGCGACGCCGCGUGAGCGAAGAAGGCCUUCGGGUCGUAAAGCUCUGUUCUUGGGGACGAAGAAGGUGACGGUACCCAAGGAGAAAGCCCCGGCUAACUACGUGCCAGCAGCCGCGGUAAUACGUAGGGGGCAAGCGUUGUCCGGAAUUACUGGGCGUAAAGGGCGUGUACGCGGCCAUGUAUGUCAGGUGUGAGAGGCCACGGC